UACGUAUGGUGCAAGCGUUAUCCGGAUUUACCGGGUGUAAAGGGAGCGCAGGCGGUUCUGCAAGUCUGAUGUGAAAGCCCGGGGCUCAACCGCGGGACUGCAUUGGAAACUGCGGGACUGGAGUGUCGGAGGGGUAAGCGGAAUUCCUGGUGUAGCGGUGAAAUGCGUAGAUAUCAGGAGGAACACCGGUGGCGAAGGCGGCUUACUGGACGAUGACUGACGCUGAGGCUCGAAAGCGUGGGGAGCAAACAGG
rnacentral:rRNA from 1 species